rnacentral:rRNA from 1 species
AACGAACGCUGGCGGCAGGCUUAACACAUGCAAGUCGAACGCCCUAGCAAUAGGGAGUGGCGCACGGGUGAGUAACGCGUGGGAAUGUACCGUUUAGUGGGGGAUAACCAAGGGAAACUUUGGCUAAUACCGCAUACGCCCUUCGGGGGAAAGAUUUAUCGCUAAACGAUCAGCCCGCGUGAGAUUAGGUAGUUGGUGGGGUAACGGCCUACCAAGCCGACGAUCUCUAGCUGGUCUGAGAGGAUGAUCAGCCACACUGGAACUGAGACACGGUCCAGACUCCUACGGGAGGCAGCAGUGGGGAAUAUUGGACAAUGGGUGCAACCUUGAUCCAGCCAUGCCGCGUGAGUGAUGAAGGCCUUAGGGUUGUAAAGCUCUUUUACCGAUGAAGAUAAUGACGGUAGUCGGAGAAAAUGCCCCGGCUAACUUCGUGCCAGCCGCCGCCGUAA